rnacentral:lncRNA from 1 species
CUUUUCCAUUCAAAUCUAAUGCAUAAUUAAUUGCAGGAUGUGAUAAACCUUCCCAGAUUUAAGAUAAAUUCCAUAAUACUGAACAAUAAACCAAACUUACUAGACCUCCAGAUGUCUUUUUAAAAUGCUUGUUUCACAGAAAUUUAAUUAGAUUGAUUAGGAUUACUGAGCUGUGCAUAUGAGAAUCCCCUAAAGGCUUUUCCUUCUCAAGAGAGGUUUCUACAAUAAUUAAACUGUAGCAGGACACUCAAUUGGAACUUUUAAUGGUCACCCCUGCCAACUAACGAGGGAGAAAAGAAAGCAGAAGAUAUAACUUCCAAAAGCAAUGCAAGCAGAAAAACACGUUCUUUAAAAUGAAGAGAUGACCUGGGAAAAGAUAAAAGGAACACUGAUUAUUUAAGUAUUGAAAAGGUUGCUGAAAUCUCCCAUAGCAGGCUUCUUCAACAGUAGCUAAAAUCAGCCAUAUUUUCAUGUUCUUGAUUCUGGAGAAGCAGUAGAAGCACUGACAUAAUGGAAGCUGCUGGCAUCAAGACCAUCUCAGUGAAAACUUCGGACAGGUAAAGAAAAGCUUUCCAAUCUGAAUGCAGUGCUGUGAUCCAUCUCGGUCACUGGGGUGACUCAUUCUCUCUCAUUUUAUUGAACGUAACAAUAUACCACAGCCAAUUUCAUGUACAGCAGGACUCUGGCAUACAAUCUGGAAUGCUGAGAAUAAAAGUAGACUUCUUUCUGUUAAUUAUCUGCUGAGGAGAAUUACUUAAAUUUUGUUGAAGCACUGUAUGUUUAAGACCUAAUAAAGAAGUGCAAGAUGAAG